GGGCGCUACGAGCGCGCGCAUGCGUAGCACCCGUAGAGUGGCGCUUACGUCAGUCCACCUCUGGCUCUCGUUGGGAGAAGACGUGCGGUCGUUCGCUCCGUCGUCACUUGAUCCCUGGCUGUCGACGAGAGCAGUCGCAUCGGUCUGCGCUCCUACUGUGAGCUGUCCUAACUUGCCCAGACAUGCCGUGAUGACGUCACAGCUGACGUCACAGGAUGUCCGGAACUGGUGGUCAUAGCUGCGAUGCUUUGCAACCUGCCUCUGUGCUCCGUCGCCCAGCGACGGUCAGCGGCCUUUCCGGACCGCUUUCUUCAAGAUGGCGCCGUUGAUCUUCAAUUAAACUCCUUCUCUCCACUCUA